CUUUUCCCCGGGCUCAAGCAAUUCUCAUGCCUCAGCCUCCUGAGUAGCUGGGAUUACAAGAAUGCCACCAGGCUCGGUUAAUUUUUGUGUUUUUAGUAGAGACAGGGUUUCAUCAUGUUGACCAGGCUAGUCUCGAGCUCCUGACCUCAAGUGAUCUGCCUGCCUUAGCCUCCCAAAGUGCUGGGAUUACAGGCGUGGGCCACCAAGCCUGGCCGUGAGAAGCAUCUUAGUGCAGCAAGAAGGCUGCCGUCUGCAACUCAGGGAGAGGACCCUUACCAGAACCCAACCAUGCCGGCCCCCUGAUCUCAGACCUCAAAGCCUCCAGAAGUGUGAGAAAACGUCUGUUGCUAAAGCCCUCCAGUCUGUGGUAUUUUGUUAUAGCAACUUGGGCAGACUGAGACACCGAUCAAACGAGAAAGCAGAUGCAUGAUUUUAUGUACAGUGCUGCUUGCUUUCUUCACAUCAGACAGGUGAUGUGCCAACUCGUAACCAGGUUUGUGGGAGGCACACCUUACACACGAGCGUGAAACCCCAAUCAUCACACUUAUAAAUGACAAGAGCCUCUACAGUACUACUUUUGUCUUAUGUAUAAUGUAUGGAUAUACAUAAGAAUAAAGGUUUAAAAUAUAUUAAAGUGCUAACCAUAAUUGUCAGUCGAUAGUAAGGUAUUUAUUGUAUUUAUACUUUUCCAAACUUCCCAAAUUUUCUCGAAUGACAAUGAUAGCUUAUUGUUUUGAGCUUCUGCCACGUGUCAGGCACCCUGCUAAGCAUUUUAUCUGCUUUAUCUCAUUAAAUCCUCACAAGAAACCCAUGAUGUAAGUACUGAUACUUUACAGAGGAG
rnacentral:lncRNA from 10 species